rnacentral:lncRNA from 1 species
AAUAUUUUAUUUUUAUUAUAUAUAUAUAUAUACUACUAUACUAUCAAUAGUACAAGCCCUUAGUACUAUUGAGAUUUUAGCCGUUGGAUGAAAGGAUGUGCGAUUAGGAUGAUAGUAGUACCCUAGGGUUGAGUGGGUGGUUGGUUUAAUAGUAUAAUCUAAUGGGUGAAAAUGAUCAAAUGAUAGAUCUAACGGUAGAAAACUUAAUAGUAUAGUAGCCGGACUCUCUCUCUCUCUCUCUCUCCCUCUCUCUCUCUCUCUCUCUCUAUAUAUAUAUAUAUAGAAUUGAGCUUUUAUGCUUUUAAAAGUACCAAGUUAUUAGCACUUGUAGAUUUUUAGCCAUUGGAUUAAGAGAUAUGCGGUUAGGAUGAUGUGGGCCCCCUAGGGUUUAGUGGGUGGUUGGUUGAAUAGUAUAAUCUAAUUGUUGAAAAUGAUCUGAGUAGUAGAUCUAACGGUAAAAAAUUUACAAGCACCAAGUGCUUGGUGCUUUUACAAGCACCAUAACUGGACUAUAUAUAU